AACGCGAAUUAACCUUACCCAGGCUUGAAAUGUAUUUGACAGCCCAUGAAAGUGGGUCCUCUCGCAAGAGACAAUUACACAGGUGCUGCAUGGCUGUCGUCAGCUCGUGCUGUGAAGCGUUGGGUUAAGUCCCGCAACGAGCGCAACCUUUGUCCUUAGUUGCCAUCAGGUAAAGCUGGGCACUCUAGGGAGACUGCCGGUGAUAAACUGGAGGAAGGAGGAGACGACGUCAAGUCAGUAUGGCCCUUAUGCCUGGGGCUACACACGUGCUACAAUGGCCGAGACAAAGGGCAGCUAACCCGCGAGGGGGCGCUAAUCCCCAAAAAACGGCCUCAGUUCAGAUAGAAGGCUGCAACUCGCCUUCUUGAAGUCGGAAUCGCUAGUAACGGUAGAUCAGCAUCGCUACCGUGAAUAACGUUCCCGGGUCUUUGUACAACACCCG
rnacentral:rRNA from 1 species